rnacentral:misc_RNA from 1 species
AAGUCGUAACAAGGUUUCCGUAGGUGAACCUGCGGAAGGAUCAUUACCGUGUCGUGGAAGACACUCUGGCCCGCCGGCGCGCCGUUGAGCGGCACCAUUGGCGUCUUCCACUACCCCACAACCCCCCAUCCCUGCCUAAUGCGCACCUCUUGUUUCCUCGGCGGGCCCGCCCGCCGCAGGACCCCCUCUAGAAACGCUUUUGCAAACCACGCAGUCGUUCGUCUGAGCGGAGUUUUAUACACACGCAAUCAAAUCAAAACUUUCAACAACGGAUCUCUUGGCUCUCA